GACGUAGGGCGCGAGCGUUGUCCGGAUUUAUUGGGCGUGAAGAGCUCGUAGGCGGCUUGUCGCGUCGACUGUGAAAACCCGUGGCUCAACCAUGUGGUCUGCAGUCGAUACGGGCAGGCUAGAAUUCGGUAGGGGAGACUGGAAUUCCUGGUGUAGCGGUGAAAUGCGCAGAUAUCAGGAGGAACACCGGUGGCGAAGGCGGGUCUCUGGGCCGAUAUUGACGCUGAGGAGCGAAAGCGUGGGGAGCGAACAGG
rnacentral:rRNA from 1 species